rnacentral:lncRNA from 1 species
GGACACCUGUAACAAACAUUGAACUAUGUAAUAACCAAAGAGCAAGUACUUCGUCAGGAGACACAUUGAAUCAAGAUAUUGUUAUAAAUAAAAAACUUACUAAACAAAAAUCAUCCUCUUCAAUAUCUGAUCAUAAUUCUGAAGGAACAGGAAAAGUGAAAUAUAAGAAAGAACAAACCGACCAUAUCAAAAUAGAUAAAGCAGAAGUAGAAGUUUGCAAGAAACACAAUCAGCAACAAAAUCAUCCUAAAUAUUCAGGGCAGAAAAAUACUGAAAAUGCCAAGCAGAGUGAUUGGCCUGUUGAAUCUGAAACUACUUUUAAAUCGGUUCUCCUAAAUAAGACAAUUGAAGAAUCGCUGAUAUAUAGGAAGAAAUACAUAUUGUCAAAAGAUGUGAAUACUGCUACUUGCGAUAAAAAUCCAUCUGCUAGCAAAAAUGUGCAAAGUCAUAGAAAAGCAGAGAAAGAAUUGACUUCUGAGCUUAAUUCCUGGGAUUCGAAACAAAAAAAAAUGAGAGAAAAGUCAAAAGGGAAAGAAUUUACCAAUGUAGCAGAAUCCUUGAUAAGCCAAAUCAAUAAAAGAUACAAAACAAAAGAUGACAUCAAGUCUACAAGAAAAUUAAAGGAGUCUUUGAUUAACAGUGGUUUUUCAAACAAACCUGUUGUACAACUCAGUAAGGAAAAAGUUCAGAAAAAAAGCUACAGAAAACUGAAGACUACCUUUGUUAAUGUUACUUCUGAAUGCCCAGUGAAUGAUGUUUACAAUUUUAAUUUGAAUGGAGCUGAUGACCCUAUCAUAAAACUUGGAAUCCAAGAGUUUCAAGCUACAGCUAAAGAAGCUUGUGCGGAUAGGUCAAUUAGAUUGUAGGUCCAAGGAAUCAUGAUGAACUUAAAUCUUCUGUCAAAACAAAAGAUAAAAAAAUUAUAACAAAUCAUCAAAAGAAAAAUCUGUUUAGUGAUACUGAAACAGAGUACAGAUGUGAUGACAGCAAGACUGAUAUUAGCUGGCUAAGAGAACCGAAAUCAAAACCACAGCUAAUAGACUAUAGCAGAAAUAAAAAUGUGAAGAAUCAUAAAAGUGGAAAAUCAAGAUCAUCCUUGGAAAAGGGACAGCCAAGCUCUAAAAUGACACCCAGUAAAAAUAUCACAAAAAAGAUGGACAAGACAAUUCCGGAAGGAAGAAUCAGACUUCCACGAAAAGCAACC